UUCAGUAGUUAUGGCACGCGGGCUCAGUAGUUGUGGCGCAUGGGCCCAGCUGCUCCGUGGCAUGUGGCAUCUUCCUGGACCAGGGCUGGAACCCGUGUCCCCUGUAUUGGCAGGCGGACUCUUAACCACUGCGCCACCAGGGAAGCCCCUGUUUAUUUUCAAUUCUAUCAAAAAGCAGUAAACUUCUGCUGACAAAAUUGCUUGGAAAAACCCAGUUGUUCAUCAGGCAAUGUUGCUGUUUUCCAUUUAUUAGGUUUUUACUGUAGCCCUGGUGAUGGGGCAUCUGUGGCACAUUGCCUUCAUUUGUACGACUAGUGACCCUAAGCAGAAACUCGGAAAAUUCUCAUGGCUGGACGUGAGAGGAUCUUCUCAUGCCUCUCCUUUCAAAGAAGGGUCCCCUUAAUAGACUUUGCUCAUCUCACCCAGCGGCUGCACCUCUGUGCUUCCUCCCAGGAGGGUAUGGUCAGUCGUCCCCCAUUCAGCAGAGGGACAGAGUCAUGAUGGGCAGGAGACCAGGGUGACCUAAGGUGACUGGAAGUCUGGGCCAGUCAGAGAGCAGCCCAGCAAUGCUGUUGAUAAAAGGCUACAGACACCUUAGCAACCACGCCCAGCCCAUGGUGCUCUCGCAUUUGGUGGACGUGGGGAGAGGGAUCUGGGACUCCCAGGCUCAGAGGACAGCAGACACAGAGACCAUCUGCUGUGUUAGGGGAAGAAAACCAUGUUUGGCAUGGGAGGCUCGGCCCCAGCUCUGCCGUUCCUCCCCCAGCUGAGUCUUGAAGGUGUGGCCUUAUCUACAAGGACAGAUUAGGCUCCACGCAGAGUUCUCUCUUGGUUCUAACAAUCUAUCGAAGUUUAUGCCAUUGCUUGGAUCUCACAGAAAGCGAUAUAGAACCAAGAGAAGCACAUGCCAGCUUGGAAAUAACCAUGCAGAGGAUGAGCCAACUUUAAUACCACAUCUGAGGUGACUCUGAAGGGGAUUUGUUCCCAAUGUUCCAGCCGUGGUCGUGUUGUGUAGAUCAAACGAUGUUGGCUGGACGGGCAGCCAGCCUCUCCUUCCCCUCUCCACCAAGAACUCUACUUUCAGGGCUCUGUAAAGUGUCAGACCCUAGUCCCUGCCUUCAGAGAGCUCAUGGUCUUCACGCAAAGCUGAGAUGUUUCUGUAAGUCGAGGGCAGGGCGAGCUGGGAUAUAAUUAACUGAAAGAAGUUACAGGUAACUGUGGUUGGCUAGUGACUGGUAAAGAUUCAAGCACUGGAGGGCUGGGGGAAAGAGGAUCACCUAAAACAGGCAUCUCAGGGAGGCGCCCUCCAGGGAGGUGGACAUGCAGUGAUGGUGUCAGACAAGCCAAGUCACAUCCUGGAUCCACGUCUGCCUACUUGUGGGGUCCCAGCAAGGUUACUGAGCUUUCUCGAAGCCUCGGGGCCUCAUCUUCAAGACACAGUAAUAACAGGAUUGACCUUUUAGGGUUAUUUGGAGCAUAAGGCAAGCAGAGUGCUUGAGCACAGCCUGGUGUGCAGUGAACAGUAAGUAAAAUUUAGCCAUUUACACCAUCACUGUCAUUAUCAAAGCUGUCAUUGUUAUCAGCAUAUAAAGAGAGGGUUGGUCUGAGCCUUGAGGAGUGGGGUCAUGUGGGCAGGCUGAGAAUAACUCGGGACUUCAUGGAGAUGCUCCCUUGAAUUCGUGGGUGGAAUUUCAAGACACCAGAAGUGGGAGAGACUUACAGAUUUACCGUUUUUGUUUCUAGAUUGAAGUGCCUGCUUUCUGAGAUUUACGUUAGAGGAAAGGGAGCAUGGCUCUAAGAUGUUACCGAAAACAUCUGCCCUGUUAGAGUCCAUAUUAAGUUAUGAAACUAUGUUUUUCCCCCUCACCUGCCAAAGUGAAUUUUAGUAUCUUCUUAUGACUGCUCAGGCUAAGGUGAUCUCCCUGCACCUGUGACCCCCAUCAAAGUUCACGUGUGCGAAUGACCUGGCCCUUCCUUGGGGUCUUUUGAAUUUUCGUUUAAAUGUUUGAUUGCUAACACUUCUUACAUGUAUUUCCUGCCUCAAUCACAGAGCCCAAGCUCCUAGCGGACAGGGAAGGUUUCUACAUUUCUGCAGUUCCCACAACUCUUAAUAUGAUUCUGGGUGUGGGGUAAGCCCUCAACAUAUUUGCUGGUUGUUUGAUUUUUUUAAUUCAAUAUGUUGCAUAAAAUUUGGCCAGGAAUAUGUCAGAUAGAAAUGUUCCUCCCAAAGAAAAAAUAUGUAUUGGCUUAGCGAGGUUUAACAUACUUGCAGUGAAAUGCUCAAUGAUAUUUAACACAGGCAUAGUCUCAUCCCAAACUACACCAGACACUCUCAUCACCCCAGAAGGCUGCCCUGUCCCUACCCUGGCCCCGCAAAGCCACCACGGGCGUGGUUCUAUCGCAUUUCACACGAAUGGAGUCACACGGCAUAUACUUCCGUGUCUGCGUUCCUUCACUAAGAUACUGUUCUUGACAAGCGUCCACGUUGUCGCACGUAUCAGCGGCUCAUUCUCUUUCCACGGCUUGAAUAUUCCAGUCUGUUAGUCCACUUCCUUGCAAACAGAUAUCUAGGUUGUUCCAAGGAAUAAACUGCUACGAACAUUAUUGUACACGCUCCUCGUGGCCCUGUUUUCAUUUAUCUUUGAUAAAUACCUAGGGUGGAAUGUGCUGGGGCAUCUGUAUUAAUGUAAACAUGUCCAUGAGUGGAGUUUGAGACAGCCUUGAUACAGAGCAGGGCCCAGUGGGGUUCCUGGGCACAAAAUCCUUCCUGUGUCCCCAUUUCUUUGAUUAUAGGAAACAGGCUUCAGUCAGCCUCCAUGACCUUCCAUGAGUUCCACGGGGCAGAUUCAAGCAGUUGUUAAUUAGGGAAGGGAGGGGGACUCAAGAGAAACAAUAGAGCAGCCUUGGGGCAGGGUCCUGGUUCCCCAUCAAGGAAUACACAGAACAACGUCUUUGAGCUGUUUUGCAGGUACUGAGACCCCCACCAGGUGGGAGAAGUUAAUGGUUAAUGGCAUGCUGCCCACAGAGGCCGGAUUCGGCUUCAGCUCUGCACCAGGUGAACAGAGAGGGUUUGGAGCUGGGUGAGGAGUUGUGGGCUUGCAAACUGGCUGCUCUCAGGAUGAAGCCUGAUGACGACAUGUCUUGUCAGGCAACUCCUGAAAAUCAGGGAUUUCAACUUCACAUCCUCACCGCCUGCCAUGGUACCCAGCAUGUGGUCUGUGUGGUCACCCUAAUGUACCUACUGCUCUACCAAGUCUGCACCAAGACAGGGUGGAGCAUGGAAAAAGAGACAAUUCUCUGAGCCUGGAUGGAGCAAAGCUGAGCUUGUCUCCAGAGGAUCAGGGACACUCUCCCCAGCGGUGUAGCAGCCUUCAGGACGCAUGGGGGCCUCGUGCUGGCUGCACCCCAAGCCCCCGGUGAGGCAUGGAGGCACCAGCACGCCUGUGACCAGUGACUGCCCCAGCUCACUGCUACGGCGGACCCCAGCUUUGGGGAGGGGCUGCAACAAUGUGUUUAAGUGUCCCCAAAUCCUUGGAUCGAAUCACAAUUGGAUUAUUUUUAGGAAAAUAAAGAACUCGGAAUUCUCCAUCA